rnacentral:rRNA from 1 species
GUGGGGAAUAUUGGGCAAUGGGCGAAAGCCUGACCCAGCAACGCCGCGUGAAGGAAGAAGGCUUUCGGGUUGUAAACUUCUUUGACAGGGGAAGAGUAGAAGACGGUACCCUGAAAACAAGCCACGGCUAACUACGUGCCAGCAGCCGCGGUAAUACGUAGGUGGCAAGCGUUGUCCGGAUUUACUGGGUGUAAAGGGCGUGCAGCCGGGCAGACAAGUCAGAUGUGAAAUCCAGAGGCUCAACCUCUGGACUGCAUUUGAAACUGUUUGUCAUGAGUUUCGGAGAGAUAACCGGAAUUCCUAGUGGAGCGGUGAAAUGCGUAAGUAUUAGGAAGAACAUCAGGGGCGAAGGCGGGUUACUGGACGAUAACUGACGGUGAGGCGCGAAAGCGUGGGGAGCAAACAGGAUUAGAAACCCGUGUAGUCC